rnacentral:rRNA from 1 species
UACGUAGGGUGCAAGCGUUGUCCGGAAUUAUUGGGCGUAAAGAGCUCGUAGGCGGUCUGUCGCGUCGGCUGUGAAAACCCGGGGCUCAACCCCGGGCCUGCAGUCGAUACGGGCAGACUAGAGUGCGGUAGGGGAGACUGGAAUUCCUGGUGUAGCGGUGAAAUGCGCAGAUAUCAGGAGGAACACCGGUGGCGAAGGCGGGUCUCUGGGCCGUAACUGACGCUGAGGAGCGAGAGCGUGGGGAGCGAACAGG